rnacentral:rRNA from 1 species
UCCCGGGAACGUAUUCACCGCGGCAUGCUGAUCCGCGAUUACUAGCGAUUCCGACUUCAUGUAGGCGAAUUGCAGCCUGCAAUCCGAACUUGGGCCGGCUUUGUGGGAUUGGCUCCGGGUCGCCCCUUCGCUGCCCUCUGUACCGGCCAUUGUAGCACGUGUGUAGCCCAGAGCAUAAAGGGCAUGAUGAUUUGACGUCAUCCCCACCUUCCUCCGGUUUGUCACCGGCAGUCCUCUUAGAGUGCCCACCUUUCGUGCUGGCAACUAAGAGCAAGGGUUGCGCUCGUUGCGGGACUUAACCCAACAUCUCACGACACGAGCUGACGACA